rnacentral:rRNA from 1 species
CGCCCAAUACUGAAUCAGGCGAUGCUAAGUCCGUGAAGCCGGCCCGAUCUCUUCGGAGUUGAGGGUAGUGGUGGAGCCGACGAACCAGACUUGUACUAGGUAAGCGAU